CCAGACUCCUACGGGAGGCAGCAGUGGGGAAUACUGCACAAUGGGGGGAACCUUGAUGCAGCAACGCCGCGUGGGUGAAGAAGUACUCCGGUAUGUAAAGCCCUGUCAGCAGGGAAGAAAAUGACGGUACCUGACCAAGAAGCCCCGGCUAACUACGUGCCAGCAGCCGCGGUAAUACGUAGGUGGCAAGCGUUGUCCGGAUUUACUGGGUGUAAAGGGCGUGCAGCCGGGAAGACAAGUCAGAUGUGAAAUCCCGCGGCUCAACCGCGGAACUGCAUUUGAAACUGUUUUUCUUGAGUACCGGAGAGGUCAUCGGAAUUCCUUGUGUAGCGGUGAAAUGCGUAGAUAUAAGGAAGAACACCAGUGGCGAAGGCGGAUGACUGGACGGCAACUGACGGUGAGGCGCGAAAGCGUGGGGAGCAAACAGGAUUAGAUACCCCGGUAGCU
rnacentral:rRNA from 1 species